CUUCUACUUCCAUGAUGAAUUUACCUGGUUGAAAGGUGCUGGCCUUUUCACAAUCAUGAUUGGUGUUAGUUUAUUCAAUUGGUACAAAUACCAAAAGCUGAAGAAGGGUAAAAACAGUGAAGAUGACAGUGUGGGACCACUCACUACAAAUGUUUCUGCCAAGUAUGUGAUUAUUGAGGAGGAUGAACAUGAUGAAGGUGCUUGAGAGCCUUAGCAAUCACAUUGCCUGUAUUCGAAGUGAAGCUUGUAUGAAACACCAGUUUAGUUAGUUUCAGCUUCACAGUAUAUAUGAAUUCCUAUGCUCUUCGAGCUUUUGAUCUUGUAGUCUGUACUUCCUCUUUUGGGUUGGCGGUAAAAAUUGGAUGUCUUCCUGCUCUAAUAGGAGUCAAGUUAACAAUUUGUCAACGUCAACUGCUUACAUGCAAUCAACAGAUUUUGAAUGGUUGGAGCUAGAGGUUAAGUCGCUUUUGUUUGAGGCCCAUGGCUUGUCCUCAUGUUUUCUUUACCAUCAAAUUUUCAUUUAGAUUGAUGUGUUAGUAAGAAUCAUGAU